rnacentral:rRNA from 1 species
UAUAAGCGGAGGAAAAGAAACUAACAAGGAUUCCCCUAGUAGCGGCGAGCGAAGCGGGAAGAGCUCAAAUUUAUAAUCUGGCACCUUCGGUGUCCGAGUUGUAAUCUCUAGAAAUGUUUUCCGCGAUGGACCGCACACAAGUCUGUUGGAAUACAGCGGCAUAGUGGUGAGACCCCCGUAUAUGGUGCGGACGCCCAGCGCUUUGUGAUACAUUUUCGAAGAGUCGAGUUGUUUGGGAAUGCAGCUCAAAUUGGGUGGUAAAUUCCAUCUAAAGCUAAAUAUUGGCGAGAGACCGAUAGCGAACAAGUACCGUGAGGGAAAGAUGAAAAGCACUUUGGAAAGAGAGUUAACAGUACGUGAAAUUGUUGGAAGGGAAACGCUUGAAGUCAGACUUGCUUGCCGAGCAAUCGGUUUGCAGGCCAGCAUCAGUUUUCCGGGAUGGAUAAUGGUAGAGAGAAGGUAGCAGUUUCGGCUGUGUUAUAGCUCUCUGCUGGAUACAUCUUGGGGGACUGAGGAACGCAGUGUGCCUUUGGCGGGGGUUUCGACCUCUUCACACUUAGGAUGAUGGUGGAAUCUCAGGAUUCAC